GCUGCGGCCCGGGGCCGGGUGGUGAAUGGGCUGGUGGUGCUCGCUGCUGCUGCUGAGAGGAGAAGGAGGAGGAUGAAGAGUUGGGCUUGUUUGUCUCCCACAGUUUCUCUCCUGCUGCUCUGAUUCCCCCCUCCCGAUUCCGGCCCGGGGCCUGUGUGUGUCCCUCCUGGAGGAGGAGGAGGAUCCAGUUCCUCCCCCCAACCCCCUCCUCCCCACCCCCCCUUGCCUGGGGAAGAGGAGGAAAGAAACAGCCCAGAGAGAGAGAGAGAGUGAGUGAGAGAGAGAGGAGAGGAGAGGAGGAGGAGGAGGAGGGAGAAGGGAACAACCUACCAUCUUAACACACUAAUAUCUAAAAAGUGCGAGAGGCCCAGAGCAGCAGCAGAAGCAGCAGCAGCAGCUCCAGCUUCUUCCCUCCCUCCCCAUGAAGAAGAGUUCCCUCCUCCUCCUCCUCCUGCUUCUCCUGCUCAGAGUUCCUGCCUCCAGCUGCCAGGGGGGACAGCCAGCCAGCAGCAGGAGGGGGGCUAGAUUGCUGAAGGAGAGCCAGUUUCCCCAAAAUUGGACUUCUCAGAACCUUUAAUAUGCUAAUGUGCAUUGUGAAUCUCCAAGAGGGGGAUAUGAUAUGCAGCAUUCUUGAAUACUUCUAAUGACAGGGAGCCCACUACCUCAUAAGCUGCAGUGAGAAGAGGAGUUUGUUACUUUAAACAGAGGCUGAAGAAACUAUAGAAUUAGCAGAGAAAGUGGAGAAGGUAGAGGAUGGAGUUGCAGACUCUACAGGAGGCUCUUAAAGUGGAAAUUCAGGUUCACCAGAAACUGGUUGCUCAGAUGAAGCAGGAUCCACAGAAUGCUGACUUAAAGAAACAGCUUCAUGAACUCCAAGCCAAAAUCACAGCUUUGAGUGAGAAACAGAAAAGAGUAGUUGAACAGCUACGGAAGAACCUGAUAGUAAAGCAAGAACAACCGGACAAGUUCCAAAUACAGCCAUUGCCACAAUCUGAAAACAAACUACAAACAGCACAGCAGCAACCACUACAGCAACUACAACAACAGCAGCAGUACCACCACCACCACACCCAGCAGUCAGCUGCAGCCUCUCCCAACCUGACUGCUUCACAGAAGACUGUAACUACAGCUUCUAUGAUUACCACAAAGACACUACCUCUCGUCUUGAAAGCAGCAACUGCGACCAUGCCUGCCUCUGUGGUGGGCCAGAGACCUACCAUUGCUAUGGUGACCGCCAUCAACAGUCAGAAGGCUGUGCUCAGCACUGAUGUGCAGAACACACCAGUCAACCUCCAGACGUCUAGUAAGGUCACUGGGCCUGGGGCAGAGGCUGUCCAAAUUGUGGCAAAAAACACAGUCACUCUGCAGGUUCAGGCAACACCUCCUCAGCCCAUCAAAGUACCACAGUUUAUCCCCCCUCCUAGACUCACUCCACGUCCAAACUUUCUUCCACAGGUUCGACCCAAGCCUGUGGCCCAGAAUAACAUUCCUAUUGCCCCAGCACCACCUCCCAUGCUCGCAGCUCCUCAGCUUAUCCAGAGGCCCGUCAUGCUGACCAAGUUCACCCCCACAACCCUUCCCACAUCCCAGAAUUCCAUCCACCCCGUCCGUGUCGUCAAUGGGCAGACUGCAACCAUAGCCAAAACGUUCCCCAUGGCCCAGCUCACCAGCAUUGUGAUAGCUACUCCAGGGACCAGACUCGCUGGACCUCAAACUGUACAGCUUAGCAAGCCAAGUCUUGAAAAACAGACAGUUAAAUCUCACACAGAAACAGAUGAGAAACAAGCAGAGAGCCGCACCGUCACCCCACCUGCUGCACCCAAACCAAAACGGGAGGAGAACCCUCAGAAACUUGCCUUCAUGGUGUCUCUAGGGUUGGUAACACAUGACCAUCUAGAAGAAAUCCAAAGCAAGAGGCAAGAGCGAAAAAGAAGAACAACGGCAAAUCCGGUCUACAGCGGAGCAGUCUUUGAGCCAGAGCGUAAGAAGAGUGCAGUCACAUACCUAAACAGCACAAUGCACCCUGGGACCCGGAAGAGAGGUCGUCCUCCAAAAUACAAUGCAGUGCUGGGGUUUGGAGCCCUUACCCCAACAUCCCCCCAAUCCAGUCAUCCUGACUCCCCUGAAAAUGAAAAGACAGAGACCACAUUCACUUUCCCUGCACCUGUUCAGCCUGUGUCCCUGCCCAGCCCCACCUCCACAGACGGUGAUAUUCAUGAGGAUUUUUGCAGCGUUUGCAGAAAAAGUGGCCAGUUACUGAUGUGCGACACAUGUUCCCGUGUAUAUCAUUUGGACUGCUUAGACCCCCCUCUGAAAACAAUUCCCAAGGGCAUGUGGAUCUGUCCCAGAUGUCAGGACCAGAUGCUGAAGAAGGAAGAAGCAAUUCCAUGGCCUGGAACUUUAGCAAUUGUUCAUUCCUAUAUUGCCUACAAAGCAGCAAAAGAAGAAGAGAAACAGAAGUUACUCAAAUGGAGUUCAGAUUUAAAACAAGAAAGAGAACAACUAGAGCAAAAGGUGAAACAGCUCAGCAAUUCCAUAAGUUCACCUGAGUGAGUGGGCCCAUCCAUACGGCCCCCCCUCGCUCUUUCUUCCACACCAUGCUGAUUGCAUUUCCCGGUUUUCCUGACCAGUGUGAGGAAGCGGGCUUUCUAGAGACAAGUAUUGGAAAAAUGCAUGGAAAUGAAGAACACCAUUCUGGCCCGGCAGAAGGAGAUGCACAGCUCCCUGGAGAAGGUAAAACAGCUGAUUCGCCUCAUCCACGGCAUCGACCUCUCCAAACCUGUAGACUCUGAGGCCACUGUGGGGGCCAUCUCCAAUGGCCCGGACUGCACCCCCCCUGCCAACGCCGCCACCUCCACGCCGGCCCCUUCCCCCUCCUCCCAGAGCUGCACAGCGAACUGUAACCAGGGGGAAGAGACUAAAUAACAGAGCCCCUCUAGGAGAAGCCACGGGAUCCCGGCGGCGAGGAGAGCAGAACACUGAAGACUCUAGAAAAGCAAAGCCGGAUUUCUGGAAAGUGCAGAAUUCUUUUGGUUCUUUGGUUCCAGAGAGAGAGAAGAUGCUUGUGCCAGGUGGCACCAGAGUUUGCCAAUUGAUCCUUCUUAUUCUGUGUGUACAUGCAAAGAUUGGACCAUGUUACAUGAAAUAGUGCCAGCUGGAGGUUCUUUGCCAGCACCAUGCCAAGUGAAAUAAUAUAUUUACUCUCUCUAUUAUACACCAGUGUGUGCCUGCAGCAGCCUCCACAGCCACGAUGGGUUUGUUUCUGUUUUCUUGGGUGGGGAGCAGGGACGGGCGGAGGGAGGAGAGCAGGUUUCAGAUCCUUACUUGCCGAGCCGUUUGUUUAGGUAGAGAAGACAAGUCCAAAGAGUGUGUGGGCUUUCCUGUUUCUAAACUUUCGCUACUAUAAAACCAAAAAAAGGAAUUGAGAUUUAACCAACCCCAGUGCCCAGAAGAGGGAAGGGGAGUGGCUGGAGGGAGCAGGGGGGUGGGACAGUGUAUCAAAUAAGCAGUAUUUAAUCACGUCUGGCGGGGGCCUCGUGCAAGGGGAGACCAACACCAAGAACAGCCAGUAGGUUCUUCUCCCCUGCGCUCUGCUCCCUGCGCAGUAACCCCACCAUUCCUGAAGCCUGGCCAGUCUCCUUCCUUCCCUGCUUGGCGAAUUGCGCAUCCCCGUGGUUAUCCCGCUGUCUCCUCUCCAAGAACAAGCAGAGCCCGGGCCGCUGGCCCUUGCCCAAGGCAGGGAAGAAGGAUGUGUGUGUCCAGGAAGGAAAAAAAGGUGAAUCAGUGAUUUUACUUGAAAACAAGCUCCAUCCCUUUUCUAUAUUUAUAAGAAGAGAAGAUCUUGAGUGAAGCAGCACGCGACCCAGGUGUGUGUGAAUUGAAUGGAGACGUUUCUUUUCUCUUUUUUAAAUUUUUGUUUUUGUUCUUUUUUUCUUUAAGGAAAGUUUUAUUUUACUGUUCAUUUUACUUUCUUGGUAACAAAAACUAAAAUAAGGAAUAGAAAAGCUGUUUUUCAGGCUGACAGUCCAUUUAAGGGUAGCCGAGACCUUGCAUGGUAGAGUAGGAAUCAUAGUGUCAGUGAGGUCCCGUGAGUCUUUGUGAGUCCUUGUGUCAUCGUUCGGGCACUGUUUUUUUAUGCAAGGGCAAAAAUCUUUGUAUCUGGGGAAAAAAACAACUUUUUUUUAAAUUAAAAAGGAAAAUAAAAGAUAUUGAGGUCUUCCUAGUGUUACUUAAAUUAAGAUCAAGGUAAGAAACAUUGUAAAAAAGAAUUACAAAAGUGCUAUUUGUUUCCUAAAAACAGUGAUUUCUAUUAAAAAGGUGUCAGAACUGGAGAAAAUGCCGUGUAGUUAUAAUUUUUUAGCACAGACCCUGCUGAUCACAAUGACAUUUUGCCGUGUGUGUGUCUCUAGACUGGUGGGCCAGUCUCCUUGAAGGACAGAGGCGGAGCUCCCCACCCUUCUCUCUCCUCAGAAAAGACCGUGCUCUCUUCUUGGUGCAGGGAUCUUGUCUCCUGUUGUGAAGCCCAAAUGGAAGUAUGGAUGGUAUCAGGGCCCUACCCGUGGUCUUCUCAGAUUCUGCUAGAGCAAAAGGCUGGUGCCUAAAUAAGAUCCCUUCCUUUGGUGCUGCUUUUGGUCUUUCAGCCACCAGCAUUAUGAGUGCCUGGGGGACACCUCCGAGGGAACUGGCCAGCGGAGCUCAGUGGUGCACACGCACCCUGGCCGUGACAGGAGGGUGUGGGAGUGCAGGCUGGCUGCAUUAGCCCUUGGUGCUUAGAAAGAACAGAGGAGGAGUGACAUGUUUUGAGGUUAUGUCUCUGAGACAGAGCCCCAGUGUGGCCUUCGCUCUGUCUUGCCUUUGGGGAAAGGUCUGAGACUCCUGCUCCUUUCUCUGCCUGUUGGCUCCAGGCACCAGAAAUUUACUCCACCCCACCCACCACAAACCUCCUGGGUGACCCUUGGCUAGAAUUACUGCGCUCGCUUUGGCUUGGCUAGUUGUGGCCUCUCCUUCUUGAGAAAACCGGGGUUGUGAAAGGCUCAGACCAUUGUCUCAUCUUGGCCAGUCAGAAGUAAAUUGUGUCAGAUGCGUGCUCUCGCUGGAGACCUUUGCCCCUUGCGUGCCCCUGGCUGAUGGGAGGGCGGUGGAGGCUCUGUACCCUGGCCCUGCUGGAGCAUCUCCCCCAAGCCCACUCCAGGCCCUGGGAAGGGCCAGAGUCUAGGAGAGGUAGAAACGGUCCCGUCGGCUUCUCUCCCACCCAGUUAGGCCCGGAGAGACAAAGACAGAUCUGAAAGCAAAUGGAACAGAGAAGAGACACUUCGUAGAGUAAAAUGUGUCUCAUCCCUAUCAGCCGCCACCAUUCAUCUUCCCAAGGGCCUCAGAAGAAGGACUUAAGUUUGACUGAACAGGCCUCAGAGUUAGGCCCUGGCUGCUUGAUUGGCUGAGGGGGAAGAGUUCCCUUUUCUCAUUCAGAAACCAAGGUGCUGUGUCUAGUCAGGGAGCCUUGGAGAUGCCUGGACUAGUUGGAGGAAUCGUUGGCAGAGGAUCAGAGACCAGCAGCAGGCUGUCUGCCCUGUCUAGAGCUCUUCCCCUCAACUUGUCUGGGCCCAUCUGGGGGUUGCCACACAACACCUAACUUAACCUUUUCCUGAAAGAAGUUGGGAAGCCAUCAUCACUAGAGGCCUUUGCUCGGAGAGGAGCUGCCUGAGGAGUCUCAGGGGUUGGGGGGACGGGGCUAGGAAUUGACCAGGGCUUUGCCUGCCGCCCUCAGCAGUGUCGAGUACAUUUCGACCUCACCUGCAGCUGGGCUGUGGAUUCUUCCUGAUAUUCAGAUGUGAGCUGUUUUGGGAGUCAGCUAGUAUGGAGUAUGAGAUGCAACCCAGCCCCUAAACCUACAUUCUAGACUCAAAUUCCAAAACACUGCUUUACUGUAAAGAAGAGGCCCCUGGCACUCAAUCUCCCUGCCCUUCACUGUCCCCUCAGACCUGGGGGGGGGGCCUGUGACCACCUGAGACAUAUGCUCGUGACACUGCCCCACCCCAGCCACCUCCACUUGCUUCCUCCUCCUUCCGUCCGCUGCUCUUUGCCCAUGGCCCAGAAUUUAGCUGCUCUGACAGCCACUUUUGAGACCAGCUGGCUUUGCAGUCACUUCAGAGAGCUGGAGCGGCUGCCUACUGGGCCCUAACUGGGGGUCCCCUGCCAGCUCCUGAUCAGGCACUGCGCCCUGGUGGCAGUGAUGACUGGGAGUCCUUGGCCAGCUCGUGACCAGGCGCUGCACCCUGGUGACAGUGAGGCCAUGUUGCUGUCAUCUCCACCUCUGCGUUCUUGUUGCCUGCGGGUCCUCCUUCUUUCAUGGAGCCUGCUGGGUCUUGUCUCACUUGUGCUGAGUUCAUCUGGGGUUUUGAUUUAUUCCUUCCUUAUCAGGCCCUUUGGGGUAAGCCUGCUGGUUGCACCUGACAUAGGGAGGCAGUUAGGGGCAGUCCCUGGUGGGGCCGCCCUGGCAGCCUCCUGCUGGCAUCAUCGUGUGCCUGGUUUCCCUGCAAUGCCUGCCUCUCUGUCCCUGCUGCUGCUUGGCUCAGGCCCAACAGGCAGUGUGCAUGGGGGCGGUUGCACACAGCUGUUUCCCUGAGGGUGACCGUGUCUGCAGCGCACUUCCGUCUCCGCAUGCACGGCUGCCUCUCCAGCCACCUCUGAUACUUCUCUUGGGGCCAUCAGAGCCUCCCUUGGGCUCUCACCUCUCAGCUCACACACUCUGGUUUCCUCCCUUCAUUCCCUUACAGGGCGUGGUCCUUCUUACUUAUCUAAAGGGCUGAAUUUAGGAGACUUUUUACCCAGGGGCAAAAGGCUCCUAGGGUAAUGGGAUGGAUGGUGGCCCAGGUGCAUUUUCCAGGGCCUGGGUUCUCCAGAUCCCGUGGCUUCUGUUGAGUGGAGGCAACUUUGCUCUGUGUGAACCUCGCCCCUGUCCCUCGGCUGGGUGCUCCUGUCCCUUGGCCGGGCACCCUUGGCAGGAAGCAGGACUCCCAUUCUCACCCUAACUUAGACUGUCCUCUGAGUCAGCUCCUCUCCAAGAUGGGAGUGGGUGGCCCUGGGCAGCCUUCUGGCCCCCUUGCUAAAGUGAGAGGCAGGAAGCUGGGGCUGCCCUCCAGAAAGCCAGGGUAGGAACUCUGAAAAAUAGCUCCUCUAAACGGAAGCAGGACCCCCCAGUUCCACUUGGCACCCCCUCCCACAAGGCCCUUUCUCCCUGAGGACCCCAGCCCCCUACCCCUUCCUCAGCAGCCUUUGGGCCCUCACCUCUCUGGUAUCUGUGGGUCCUCAGCCCAGGGUGAGCUGCAGUCAGGUGGGGUGGGACGGGCAGGCCAGAGGUCAGCCAGCUCCUAGCAGAGAAGAGCCAGCCAGACCCCAACCCUGUCUCUUGUCCAUGCCCUUUGUGAUUUCAGUCUUGGUAGACUUGUAUUUGGAGUUUUGUGCUUCAAAGUUUUUGUUUUUGUUUGUUUGGUUUUUGUUUUGAGGGGGUGGGGGGGAUACAGAGCAGCUGAUCAAUUUGUAUUUAUUUAUUUUAACAUUUUACUAAAUAAAGCCAAAUAAAGCCUCUCA